GAGAACGGCCCUAGCUUGCUNGGGCNUCAGCUAAGUGGCGCACGGGUGAGUAAUGUAUAGCUAACAUGCCCCAUAGAGGGGGAUAACAGUUGGAAACGACUACUAAUACCCCANNCUCNUUCAUCACGUAAGUGAUGUUGGGAAAGGUUUAUUCCGCUAUGGGAUUGGGCUAUAUCGUAUCAGCUAGUUGGUAGGGUAACGGCCUACCAAGGCUAUGACGCGUAGCGGGUCUGAGAGGAUGAUCCGCCACACUGGAACUGAGACACGGUCCAGACUCCUACNGGAGGCAGCAGUGGGGAAUAUUGGGCAAUGGGCGAAAGCCUGACCCAGCAACGCCGCGUGGAGGAUGANGCCCUUCGGGGGUGUAAACUCCUUUUAUCAGGGAAGAUGAUGACGGUACCUGAUGAAUNNGCACCGGCUAACUCCGUGNCAGCAGCCGCGGGUAAUACGGAGGGNGGCAAGCGUUUACUCGGGAAUCACUGGGCGUNAANCGCGCGCAGGGCCGGGCUGAUAAACGGGGGAAGUGNAAACCNUAACGGC
rnacentral:rRNA from 1 species